UGGGGAAUUUUGGACAAUGGGGGCAACCCGUGAUCCAGCAAUGCCGCGUGUGUGAAGAAGGCCUUCGGGUUGUAAAGCACUUUUGUCCGGAAAGAAAACGUCGUGGUUAAUACCCGUGGCGGCUGACGGUACCGGAAGAAUAAGCACCGGCUAACUACGUGCCAGCAGCCGCGGUAAUACGUAGGGUGCAAGCGUUAAUCGGAAUUACUGGGCGUAAAGCGUGCGCAGGCGGUCCGCUAAGACAGAUGUGAAAUCCCCGGGCUUAACCUGGGAACUGCAUUUGUGACUGGCGGGCUAGAGUAUGGCAGAGGGGGGUUAGAAUUCCACGUGUAGCAGUGAAAUGCGUAGAGAUGUGGAGGAAUACCGAUGGCGAAGGCAGCCCCCUGGGCCAAUACUGACGCUCAUGCAC
rnacentral:rRNA from 1 species